AUUGAACGCUGGCGGCAGGCCUAACACAUGCAAGUCGAACGGUAACAGGAAGAAGCUUGCUUCUUUGCUGACGAGUGGCGGACGGGUGAGCAAUGUCUGGGAAACUGCCUGAUGGAGGGGGAUACCUACUGGAAACGGUAGCUACUACUGCUUAACGUCGCAAGACCAAAGUGGGGGACCUUCGGGCCUCUUGCCAUCGGAUGUGCCCAGAUGGGAUUAGCUAGUAGGUGGGGUAACGGCUCACCUAGGUGACGAUCACCAGCUGGUCUGAGAGGAUGACCAGCCACACUGGAACUGAGACACGGUCCAGACUCCUACGGGAGGCAGCAGUGGGGAAUAUUGCACAAUGGGCGCAAGCCUGAUGCAGCCAUGCCGCGUGUAUGAAGAAGGCCUUCGGGUUGUAAAGUACUUUCAGCGGGGAGGAAGGGAGUAAAGUUAAUACCUUUGCUCAUUGACGUUACCCGCAGAAGAAGCACCGGCUAACUCCGUG
rnacentral:rRNA from 1 species